AAGGUCCAACCUCAUGUGUCCU
rnacentral:miRNA from 1 species